GAGUGUGCCAGUGUGCGCCUGGCAGGGAUAGGCAGGUCUGCAGUUGCUGCUGGAGGGGGAAUUUGGAGGAGACUUCCUUAGCUGCCUCUAAGUGACACUGACCACAUGUUUAACCUUUACCAGAAGAGACUUUUCAGGGCUCUCUGAUGGAAUGCAGUGGAAAUAACUCCCAGAACAUCGCUGGACAAGGUUUUGAAAUUCCAGGGCACUAGGCUUCUGGUUUCUUUGUACAUGGACAUAGAAGAACUCAAAUGUCAUUCUCACCCUCAGGAAGUAUGAUGAAUUUCAUUCCAGGCAAAGGUGGAUUCACUGCGAAGUUAACACAGCUUAAACUUCAGCACCCCUCACAUGCCCGGGACACUCCCAAGG